CAGUCGCCGCGGGAAUACGGAGGGUGCAAGCGUUAAUCGGAAUUACUGGGCGUAAAGCGCACGCAGGCGGUCUGACAAGUCAGAUGUGAAAUCCCCGGGCUUAACCUGGGAACUGCAUUUGAAACUGUCAGGCUGGAGUCUUGUAGAGGGGGGUAGAAUUCCAGGUGUAGCGGUGAAAUGCGUAGAGAUCUGGAGGAAUACCGGUGGCGAAGGCGGCCCCCUGGACAAAGACUGACGCUCAGGUGCGAAAGCGUGGGGAGCAAACAGGAUUAGAUACCCCUGUAGUCCCUGUCUCUUAUAU
rnacentral:rRNA from 1 species